rfam:Myotis lucifugus cont2.57161, whole genome shotgun sequence.
GCCAGUGUGGCUCAGUGACUAGAGCGUCGGCCAGCAGGCUGAAGGGUCACAGGUUCGAUUCCCGUCAAGGGCA